GUUUCAGUCACUGAGAGGAUGCUACUCUGGAUCUGGGAUUUUUGGAAUGGUGGGAGGCAGUUACAGAUAGGACACGACCAGAACUGUCACCUUUCUGCAUGAAAUGAAACCUUGCAGUGGACUACGACUUCCUCAACAAGCCUCCCACAGGAUGGCUGGAUCUAAAUGUAUAACAGAUGACACAAGUCCAUCCGGGAGGAUCUCAGAGUAGAGCCGUUGCUCCUCCACAUCAAGAGGAGCCAGAUGAGGUGGCUGGGGCAUCUGAUUCGGAUGCCUCCCGGACGCCUCCCUGGCAUUAAGCGGCGAAGCGUUCCCGAGGUGUGUGUGGGGGGCGCUGCAAGAGAACCACGCUGGGGAGGAAAUGAAAGGGUGUACCCCGUCUCUCAUCCAAAGUCAGUUGGGAGAGGCUCUAGCACACACGUGACCCUAAUUAGGAUAAACUGAAGAAUGAUGACUAUUGCUGUGGACAAUUGUUGGAUAGUUUACUACGUACCCUCAGCACCUGCUGAUAAACUUCUACAGAUCCACCAUGGGGAGCCUCCUGACCUCCUGUUGCACAAGUUGGUUCAGCAGCCGUACUGUGAGGGACGGGAGGGACCUGCAACGGGUGGUGAAAACAGCAGAGUGGGUGACUGGCUAAACUAUACACUACCCACCCUCAGGGACACCGACACUGGCAGACUACUACGAAAAGCCAAUGGAAUCAUUAAGGACCCCUCCGACCACAGACACUCACUUUUCUCCCCUCAUUCGCUCUGGAAAACGCCAUAGGACAUUGAAGUCUAGGACCAUGAGGCUAAAAAAGAGCUUCUACCACCAAGCUGUGAAAUGGAUCUGUGAAAGCUGUUCACAUGCACAUCUAUAAUCAUAUAUACUUUAUAGUAGGGUAUUGUGAUAGUGUCACUCCACUGCUGGUAUUGCUUUUGAUUAUUCUCAUUUUGCCACGUACAAUUGCUGCUGACUAUUUUGCUGCUGUUUACAUUCACCUUUGUUUAUAUAGUAGUAUAUUUUAUCAUGUAUCAUUGCUAUAUACUGCUAGUUUCAUUCUACUCAGACUUAUUGUCCAGUUUAGGUAAAUAUACAUUAAUUAGUUGGUGUUAUUAUUCUUGUCUGUUUCUACUGACCGCUUUGCUGCUGUAAAAAAAAUGUAAUGUCCCCAUUGCGGGACCAUUAAAGACUGAUUAUAUUCUACUGUAUUUAAUGCAAAAGCAUCAUGAGAUGUUGUAAAGACCAAACACACUGAAAUGUAUGCAACGACAACCGUUGAAAUGAAGUGUAUUGUACACUGCAUUGUAAUGUUGUAGAACUUCGCAAUGCCAACGAUUUAUGCCGUUAAUUCAACCGAAUUUCAAAGCCCACAAGCACUGAGCAACAUCCUCUGAGGACAUACAGGAAGCUCCCAGGCCCAUCGCAGCGCCGUAGGCCCUUCGUACAGACUUCUCUCCAGGCAUGAAAGAAAGAAAAGUGUCCGCCAUUAGUCUCACCUUGGUCUGCUUGCAUCACAGACCAGGCAUUCCAAGUUGUCCUCUAAUCAAGCGAGCACCAAUAUCCUGCAAUUAGUUCAGUUUCCACACUGUGCCCUUGGGGUCCGGCUCCGGCCUGGGAAAUGGGAUCCAGUCCCUUUUUGUAAAGCUCUGUCAUUUUGCAUAGCACGACAUACGCACCCAUGCACGCACGCACGCACACACACACAAACACACACACAAGGUUGUUAUCGCAGAGUUUGUUUGCAUGGGAACCACAUGUAGUGCUUGUGCAGACCCUUUCAUAUGUUAGUGGCGGGGUGGGCUGCGGAUUAGAUUAGACCGUCUCAUAACGAUUAAAUGUAAUCUGAAAGUGUCCUUGAGGGAGAAAGACAAUGUAAAGUCUGUGAAUGAUUCCAUGGGAAAUACUCGUAUGUAUA